rnacentral:rRNA from 1 species
AGAGUUUGAUCCUGGUUCAGGACGAACGCUGGCGGCGUGCCUAAUACAUGCAAGUAGAACGCUGAAGAGAGGAGCUUGCUCUUCUUGGAUGAGUUGCGAACGGGUGAGUAACGCGUAGGUAACCUGCCUUGUAGCGGGGGAUAACUAUUGGAAACGAUAGCUAAUACCGCAUAACAAUGGAUGACCCAUGUCAUUUAUUUGAAAGGGGCAAAUGCUCCACUACAAGAUGGACCUGCGUUGUAUUAGCUAGUAGGUGAGGUAACGGCUCACCUAGGCGACGAUACAUAGCCGACCUGAGAGGGCGAUCGGCCACACUGGGACUGAGACACGGCCCAGACUCCUACGGGAGGCAGCAGUAGGGAAUCUUCGGCAAUGGGGGCAACCCUGACCGAGCAACGCCGCGUGAGUGAAGAAGGUUUUCGGAUCGUAAAGCUCUGUUGUAAGUCAAGAACGAGUGUGAGAGUGGAAAGUUCACACUGUGACGGUAGCUUACCAGAAAGGGACGGCUAACUACGUGCCAGCAGCCGCGGUAAUACGUAGGUCCCGAGCGUUGUCCGGAUUUAUUGGGCGUAAAGCGAGCGCAGGCGGUUUGAUAAGUCUGAAGUUAAAGGCUGUGGUUCAACCAUAGUUCGCUUUGGAAACUGUCAAACUUGAGUGCAGAAGGGGAGAGUGGAAUUCCAUGUGUAGCGGUGAAAUGCGUAGAUAUAUGGAGGAACACCGGUGGCGAAAGCGGCUCUCUGGUCUGUAACUGACGCUGAGGCUCGAAAGCGUGGGGAGCGAACAGGAUUAGAUACCCUGGUAGUCCACGCCGUAAACGAUGAGUGCUAGGUGUUGGAUCCUUUCCGGGAUUCAGUGCCGCAGCUAACGCAUUAAGCACUCCGCCUGGGGAGUACGACCGCAAGGUUGAAACUCAAAGGAAUUGACGGGGGCCCGCACAAGCGGUGGAGCAUGUGGUUUAAUUCGAAGCAACGCGAAGAACCUUACCAGGUCUUGACAUCCCGAUGCUAUUUCUAGAGAUAGAAAGUUACUUCGGUACAUCGGUGACAGGUGGUGCAUGGUUGUCGUCAGCUCGUGUCGUGAGAUGUUGGGUUAAGUCCCGCAACGAGCGCAACCCCUAUUGUUAGUUGCCAUCAUUCAGUUGGGCACUCUAGCGAGACUGCCGGUAAUAAACCGGAGGAAGGUGGGGAUGACGUCAAAUCAUCAUGCCCCUUAUGACCUGGGCUACACACGUGCUACAAUGGUUGGUACAACGAGUUGCGAGUCGGUGACGGCAAGCUAAUCUCUUAAAGCCAAUCUCAGUUCGGAUUGUAGGCUGCAACUCGCCUACAUGAAGUCGGAAUCACUAGUAAUCGCGGAUCAGCACGCCGCGGUGAAUACGUUCCCGGGCCUUGUACACACCGCCCGUCACACCACGAGAGUUUGUAACACCCGAAGUCGGUGAGGUAACCUUUUGGAGCCAGCCGCCUAAGGUGGGAUAGAUGAUUGGGGUGAAGUCGUAACAAGGUA